GGAAGUGUAAAAGUCGUAACAAGGUUUCCGUAGGUGAACCUGCGGAAGGAUCAUUAUUGAAUUAUGUUUUCUAGAUGGGUUGUAGCUGGCUCUUCGGAGUAUGUGCACGCCUGUCUGGACUUCAUUUUCAUCCACCUGUGCACCUUUUGUAGUCUUUUUCAGGUAUUGGAGGAAGUGGUCAGCCUAUCAGCUCUUUGCUGGAUGUAAGGACUUGCAGUGUGAAAACAGUGCUGUCCUUUACCUUGGCCAUGGAAUCUUUUUCCUGUUAGAGUCUAUGUUAUUCAUUAUACUCUUAGAAUGUCAUUGAAUGUCUUUACAUGGGCUAUGCCUAUGAAAAUUAUUAUACAACUUUCAGCAACGGAUCUCUUGGCUCUCGCAUCGAUGAAGAACGCAGCGAAAUGCGAUAAGUAAUGUGAAUUGCAGAAUUCAGUGAAUCAUCGAAUCUUUGAACGCAUCUUGCGCUCCUUGGUAUUCCGAGGAGCAUGCCUGUUUGAGUGUCAUUAUAUUCUCAACUCUCCAAUACUUUGUUGUAAAGGAGAGCUUGGAUUGUGGAGGUUUGCUGGCUCCUUACUUGGGGUCAGCUCCUCUGAAAUGCAUUAGCGGAACCGUCUGCGAUCUGCCACAAGUGUGAUAACUUAUCUACACUGGCGAGGGGAUUGCUUUCUGAUGUUCAGCUUCUAAUCGUCUAAGGACAAUUUCUUGAAUGCUGACCUCAAAUCAGGAGGGAACACGGCCGACGA
rnacentral:rRNA from 1 species